AAAAAUGUUUUCAAAAAAAUUAACAUUGACUGCUGUCAGUGUUUUUGCUUUUUAAAUCAUUGUAUACAAAUUUUGCUCGUUGAAAUUGUAAUUACUUUGUUAACUUUGUUUUAAUUGAGUGUGAAGUGAAAUUUUAUAGUCCCCGGAUUUCUCUUUAACGAUUAAUUAGAUACUCGACGGAAUGUAUACAAACGGAGGUCAUUUAAAUUACAAGUAAUUUCGGAGGACCAGUUUCAUCAUGAUAGCAAUGCGGCAUAAACACUACGCUACCUCAAUGACGGAUAUACACAAUAUAUGAAGUUUAAUAUCUGGUGCACCUAUUACUUACAAACGAACGCACGGUCUGUUAUUGGUUUAAAGGCUUCCGUUCUGGAUAUUUAAAUCUAAAAAAAAAAACAUGUCGCGGUCGUCUAAAAACUAUUGUCUUCACGACGAAUUAAGGCGACCGUAGAAGCUGGUGGUAAAUGGCUUAGUUAGCAGCGGUUUUAGACAAGCAGCCUGACAAAUGGGUGCCGCACGAACUGAAUGAUCGCUAACGCAAUAGCGCUGACAUAAAUGAAGGGAUUUCGAACCGCUUUGUUACUGGCGAUGAAAAGUGGAUCAUUUUCGAUAAUCAUCUAUUUAACUUAUAUCUAGCUAGGCUUGGUCUAACGCUCGUCCUAACUGCUCCUGCGUGGCAGCUUAUAACUCCAUAUUGAACAAGAGGCGGACAGGUCUCGAAGUUACAAAAGCUAAUGAGUUUUGGCAAAUGCGUGUAGCAAAUAACGUGCCGUACAGACUACGAAUAUAUACAUACCUUGAUUUUGAUCAACUUGGAGAAAUUUGUGGUCACUGGAAAGGUCGAGGUUAUGCGACCAAGAGGCAGGAGCUCGACCCGUUGGACGGACCAUAUUUGUGCAGCCCUUGAUACAACAGUGCACGAUGCUCUGCACUCAGCUGCAGAUAGGAACAGAUGGCGGUGCAUUACAAAAAACAAACUGUUUCAAGGCCAUGACCACGACCCUCAGUAAUGAGGAAACCGACGCAAGGAGGAGGAUUUUGAUCAACAUGAAAUACCCCUAGCUAUGAUUUAGUGCACGAACCACAUAUUCCAUUAAAACGAUCGUGUUAACAUAAUCAUCUAAUAGCCUGCACAAUCGAACAUUAAUUACCCACAGAUAACAUUAGCUUUGCAAUAGAAUCCGCAACACGCUGUAUAUAAUAGUCGCCACAUAAAUAGGUCAAUGCGGCGCGGCGCGUUGUGAUCCAUGUAAACUAUACUCGAGAUCUGAUUGUGGUCGUAAGUAAGUUAUAAGCAGUCGGCUGUUAUAGUCGGUGGAUUUUACAUUAAUUUUUUUUUUUGGUAUACAGCAUUUUAAUGUUUAUGAGUGUAAAUGUUCCUUUUUUAUACAUAGUUAGGGCGAGCUGAUUUAAGGGCACUGCAAGAUACCUAUUGCUGCUGCUGUAAAGCAGUAAUGUGUUACGGUUUUAAGAUUGCAACAACAGUUCUAAAAACGGAGACUUAGAACUCAUGUCCCAAGGCGGGUAGCCGCAUUUACGUUGUUAAUUUCUAUGGGCUCCGUAACCACUUAGCACCAGAUGGGUCGUGAGCUUGUCCAUCCAUUUAUGCAAAAGGGGGUGUAGUCUCAUUUGUAUUGUGUCAGGGCUGUACCGCCUAACAAACCGAAGCGUAUGACUGCUUCAGGGUGUUCACAAUACCUUAUUGCGCCAUUAAAUACGCAAAACACUAUCAUUAUUGCCUUUUAUUAGAUCUGUUCCUUCAUUGGGGUAAUAUUUCUUGGAAACGCGUUCGAUGAGUAUUCUUAUAGAAAAAUUGGUAAAUUGCGUAAAUUACGCGUGAAUUGGGUUACGCGAUCUAGUCGAAAUAUUGUUAAUUGAGCUUUUACUAAAACUAGAGGUCCCGCAGUAGUCGAAAUUCGACUAUAAUUAAUUGGAAUUGUAAGUUUGUACACUAUUAUGAUUGUAUGUUAUACUUCUAUAAUCACAAAUUUCCCCAAGACUACACUAUAAAAAAUAUUAACAAAGACAAACAAUAUAUUUUAAUCUAAUCUCAAUUUGACAACAAAAAGAACAAAAGUUUGACAGUAAAUAGUAUGCAUGCGUGUGUGCGUCAAAUAAAUGGUAUGUAGUGUG